rnacentral:misc_RNA from 1 species
AGAACCGCCCCUGCUUUGUUCUAAUUCUGUUUUUCUACAGAAUCAAGAAACAAAACUUCCUAAAGUAGACAAAUUUCUGUAGGGUUAGCCCAAUGUAGGGAUUUUGUAGGAGUAGAAAUGAUGCCUGUUUCCAAGUCAUAUACCCACCAACCAUCAGCAGAGCAAAGGGUAAAGUAUACGCAAUUUCUCCUACAUCCCACUCUGCUUGCUGACACAGACAUACAGCAAUUGGCACCCAUAAUCAAUGUUACAUCCCUAAGGCUCUCCUUCUUAGUCCAUGUGAGAUUACCUAUAUUAAGCUGGUAAAUUUCCACACAAUCCACCACAUUAAUGGAAUCUCUAGAGACUAUGAAAACUAGCAAAAUCCCCCCUUCUGAUUCAAUCAUACAUUCUCUAAAACGUUUAGAAGAAACAGAAGGAACAGCUCUUUUCUUACCCAAA